rnacentral:rRNA from 1 species
UUGAACGCUGGCGGAAUGCUUUACACAUGCAAGUCGAGCGGCAGCGCGGGGGCAACCCUGGCGGCGAGCGGCGAACGGGUGAGUAACAUAUCGGAACGUACCCUGUCGUGGGGGAUAACACAGCGAAAGCUGUGCUAAUACCGCAUACGACCUGAGGGUGAAAGCGGGGGAUCGCAAGACCUCGCGCAAUUAGAGCGGCCGAUGUCGGAUUAGCUAGUUGGUGGGGUAAAGGCUCACCAAGGCGACGAUCCGUAGCGGGUCUGAGAGGAUGAUCCGCCACACUGGGACUGAGACACGGCCCAGACUCCUACGGGAGGCAGCAGUGGGGAAUUUUGGACAAUGGGCGGAAGCCUGAUCCAGCCAUGCCGCGUGAGUGAAGAAGGCCUUCGGGUUGUAAAGCUCUUUCAGCCGGAAAGAAAUCGCGCAGGCUAAUACUCUGCGUGGAUGACGGUACCGGAAGAAGAAGCACCGGCUAACUACGU